rnacentral:rRNA from 6 species
CUCCGUAGGUGAACCUGCGGAAGGAUCAUUG